CCCUACGGGACGCAGCAGUGGGGAAUAUUGCACAAUGGGGGAAACCCUGAUGCAGCAACGCCGCGUGAAGGAAGACGGUUUUCGGAUUGUAAACUUCUGUUCUUAGCGAAGAAGAAUGACGGUAGCUAAGGAGCAAGCCACGGCUAACUACGUGCCAGCAGCCGCGGUAAUACGUAGGUGGCAAGCGUUGUCCGGAAUUACUGGGUGUAAAGGGAGCGCAGGCGGGAAGCCAAGUCAGCUGUGAAAUCCAGGGGCUCAACCCCUGAACUGCAUUUGAAACUGUCGUUCUUGAGUACUGAAGAGGG
rnacentral:rRNA from 1 species